rnacentral:lncRNA from 1 species
CGAAAGGAGAUACUUGAGGCUAUAAUGAUCUGUGUCAUACCCAAUUUUUACGUAAGGUCAAAACGAGCACAACAUAAGGGACUCUAAAAGAAUAAAUUUUUUACAGAGUUGCCACCUAAUUUAAGGAAAAAUAGGAAAUCUAUUUAUUUAUCUAACAAGUAUGAAUUUAUUCUAAUCUACGAAACCAAGUUAAAUUUUAGGUAAGGGCUCAAAUUAUUUUGAAGGGAAUGGGUUGGGCAUCCUUCAGAAUCCACAACUGUAGUUCGCGACCAGACUUAGGUUUAUUAUUAAAAAAUAAAAAUAAAAAUCAAUAUUUACAAAUACAAAAAUAAUAUAAUACAUAUGUUAUUGCAAAAUAUAUAUAUAAACUCACGUAAAUAUGUAUAAACAAACAUGUAUAAGGAUAUUUAAAAAAGAAAGGCAAAGAUUGAAUAUAAAAAGAUAUUAUUUUUAAAGAAAAAAUUACACAAUAGUUUUUAGUGUAAAAAGUGUGAAUUAUUUAAUCAAAUAUCUAAAUUAAUUUUAAUAUAAAUAUUAACGGCCUAAAUUUGCCUAACACGUGGUAAGGAUUGUAUAAAUAAAAAAAAACCCCGCCCAGUGCCCCAAAAAUAAAGAUUUUACUAUAAUUAAUAUUUGUACAAUGAUAAGAACAAAAGAGAAUACAAAUACGAAAAAAAAAUUCAAGCUCUUCUGUAAAUAUCAUUCCCGACGAGUAUUCCCGAGAACCUGUACAAACACUUGUAAUAAAAAUAUUAGUAACAAAUAAAUAAUUAUCAAAAUAAAUUUAAAAGGUAAGUGUGCAUAUAUGUAUUUAAAAAUAUAAUUUUUGCUAAAAGAUGGGCUCGGACUAAAUUUUAGAUACACCAUGGCUACGAAGUGGUUACUCAAUUUGUUGGCCGUCCUAAAUCGCCUUGCCAAGAUACGAGACAAAAAUCUUUUGCGUUGUAAUAUAAACUUCAUCAUUGUCCAAAUUUAUUUAUUUUAUUAUGUAUUUAUAUACGUAAUAUCCAUCUUUUUAUUUGUGAAGGCCUCAAAAAUCGAUGAAAAAUUUCUUCAUCGACCAACUGUCGGCUCUUAAUAUAAAAUAAUGAAUUUGAGUACAUAAAGUCCGUCUUUUGUAAUGGGGUGGCCUCAAAUAUCCAGACGGAGAGAUAAUUUCAUUGGCCAAGUGUUGGCCUUUCUUUUUCGUUAUUAGUGUAGUAUCAAACGGCAAAAUGUUAGUCACCAAAAAAAUGCAGAAUCAAUAAAAAAUCAGAGAGCCAAACCACAACAACAACCAACAAACUUACAAUAAUGGUACGACAACAAUGUCAAAGGUUCACCGGAAUUCACGAAGCUAACCAAAAUGUCAACAACAAUUCAAAAAAAAAAAUAGUACAACAAAAUCCAUGAACAUAUAACUGAGCAAUGCUCAGAGAAAUAACAGUUAACCACCAUAAUAAUCAAAGAUUAAAGAAAGAAAAUUUUGAACGGCGAUAAUGUCGGCGUUGCUUCAAUGGGCUUCACCGGAGCAACGCCGGAGAAGCACGAACUUGGCCAGAUCUAGCGAUUUCUCUAACGAGGCAGUGUCCUCCAUUAAUGGAGGAAAAAGGGAAAGAGGAAGAGGAGGCAAGGAGCAGUAGCGAUUUUUGGUCGCUGGUCGUCGGCAGUGAGGCGUCGGAGAGAGGAAAAUUAGGGGGGGAAAAGGAAGGGGAUGGCGGCUGGACUGGGGACGGCGGAGAUGUGAGGGCUAUGGGAAGUAAGGGAUGGAGAAAGCUUCACGGUGGUCCACCGGAGGUGGUUCGCCGGUGGUAAUGAGGCUAUGGUUUUAUAGAGAGAAGAAGAAAGAGUGGGAGUAGAGAGAGAGAGGAGCAUGAGAUUGAGAGAGAGAGGGAGAUCAAAUUUUUUGGGUGUAGAUUAUGCGUGUGU